rnacentral:rRNA from 1 species
UACGUAGGGGGCAAGCGUUAUCCGGAUUUACUGGGUGUAAAGGGAGCGUAGGCGGCGGAGCAAGUCAGAAGUGAAAGCCCGGGGCUCAACCCCGGGACGGCUUUUGAAACUGCCCUGCUUGAUUUCAGGAGAGGUAAGCGGAAUUCCUAGUGUAGCGGUGAAAUGCGUAGAUAUUAGGAGGAACACCAGUGGCGAAGGCGGCUUACUGGACUGACAAUGACGCUGAGGCUCGAAAGCGUGGGGAGCAAACAGGAUUAGAUACCCGUGUCGGCUGACUGACU